rnacentral:rRNA from 1 species
CAAUAGCGUAUAUUUAAGUUGUUGCAGUUAAAAAGCUCGUAGUUGGAUUUCGGAUGGGACUUGCCGGUCCGUCGUUUCGAUGUGCACUGGCCAGUCCUAUCUUGUUGUCGGGGACUAGCUCCUGGGCUUCACUGUCCGGGACUAGGAGCUGACGAGGUUACUUUGAGUAAAUUAGAGUGUUCAAAGCAAGCCUACGCUCUGAAUACAUUAGCAUGGAAUAACACGAUAGGACUCUGGCUUAUCUUGUUGGUCUGUGAGACCAGAGUAAUGAUUAAGAGGGACAGUCGGGGGCAUUCGUAUUUCAUUGUCAGAGGUGAAAUUCUUGGAUUUACGAAAGACGAACUUCUGCGAAAGCAUUUGUCAAGGAUGUUUUCAUUA